rnacentral:rRNA from 1 species
UACGUAGGGUGCGAGCGUUAAUCGGAAUACUGGGCGUAAAGCGUGCGCAGGCGGUUGUGCAAGACAGGUGUGAAAUCCCCGGGCUUAACCUGGGAACUGCACUUGUGACUGCACAGCUGGAGUGCGGCAGAGGGGAUGGAAUUCCGGCGUGUAGCAGUGAAAUGCGUAGAGUAUGCGGAGGAACACCGAUGGCGAAGGCAAUCCCUGGGCCUGCACUGACGCUCCAUGCACGAAAGCGUGGGGAG